CCUCCUCCUCCUCCUCCUCCUCCUCCUUCUUCUCCUCCUCCAUCAUCAUGUCAUCUUCAGAUUGAAGGCGUUUUCUGAGUAAGGACGCUCCCCACCCCACGUCCCCAGCCAUGCCCGCCCCCUCCACCCCUAUCCGCCCACGUAAGCAAGCGGCGAGGCGAGACAAGACGAGAUGAGACGAGGCGAGGCGAAGCGAGGCGAGACGAGGUGAAGCAAAGCAAGUAUUCCUGUAAACAUCCUUGCUCUGAAAAACAGGUUACCGUGAUCACUCAGCGGCGCAAGGCAUUACCAUUAUCCUGCGUCAUAAAUCUUCAAUGUUUUUCUUCUCUUGCUUCACUACAGAAACAAAAGAUUCACAAAAAGUAUUGAUAAGAAAACGAACAGCUUACAAAAAACACUUCAAUUUUGUUUCCCUUCCAGCGGUGAUUUUUUGUCUUUUCUUUCCUUUGGUUAGUUAUCAAUGGACAGUCACUAAAGGAAGAUAAGAAACAAAUGAAUAAUAGGAAAAUCAACACCUUACAAAAAAAAAAAAACACUCCAUUUUUGUUUCCCUUUGGCGGUGAAUCUUUCCCUUUUUUUUUCUUUUUUAGUCAGUUGCGAAUUCAUAAUCACCGGAAAAGACAAGAAACAAAUAUAUAGGAAAAUGAACACCUAAAAAAAAAAAAAAAAAAAAAAAACACUUCUCUUGUUUCCCUCCCAGCGAUGAAUCUUUAUUUUUUUCCCCCUUUUUUUUUCACCAGGAAGAGUUUGAUCCAAUUAAGUUUGAUAAUACAGGCUCUCAUUUCACUGCGAUUACCUCUCGUGUGACUUCACCUGGGCGGAACUGUUGGCGCGCGCGGGAGUGGCGUGGCGUGGAGAGUGGCGCCUUUGUUUCCGGGUUUUGCUGUUGCGGUGGUAGUGGUGGUGGUGGUGGUGGUGGUGGUAGGGCUUGAUUUAAAGGGAGUUACUGUUAGUUGCGAAUGGACAAUCAGAGAGGAAGGACGUGCCAUUGACCUCGCUGGAAAUACUGUUUUUGUUUUGAUUUUUUUUUUUAAUAUGAGAUGCUGUGUACAUUAAGUUGCGGUAGUAAUAGUAGUAGUGGUAGUAGUGAUGGUGAUAUCUUUUUCUAUGAAUCUUUUUUUGGGGGAUAGCGGAAAAAAAGUCCCUCUUCUUUUCUCUUCUUACUUUUUUACUUUUUCCCUUAUUUUUUUUUGUUUUGUUUUUAGCUUUCGGUAGUAAUAGUAGUAGUAG